CCCCCCCCCCCCCCAGCCUAAGGUCGCGCUACAGUACAAAGGCGUCUCCUUCCAGGCGACUCCGUCGCCGGCGUCGAUCUCGCUGGCUGGCCUCUCCUCUGCUUGCCUUUUAGGCACCGGAGGAGUUGGAGAGAGCAGAUCGACGCCUGGCGGUUCUAGUUGAGUAGGUUUGAGGUAGGUGUGUAGAGUAGUGUAGUUGUCUAGGGGUUGAAUAAUCUGUGUUCUCCGGGUGAUGCUGUCCAUGGCGGCUUCUCGCCGGAUUUGGAGCUUGCUGAUGGUGCAGUCAGCGACGACACCGUGGGAUGUUGCUGCAGCAUCUGUCGUUGGCGACUCCACCCUCUCUAGCUGCUCUGCCAUGGCUGGAGUGGGGGUGCCAGAUGGAGGUUCCCUUGAUCAUUCCCAGCGAUGUGGCUGCCGAUGUUCUUUCAGCGUUAUUAGAUGCAUCUUGGUGUGGCUCCGAGGCGUUGGCUGUUGUGGCAUGUCCAAGGUUUGGGGCCUAUCGUCGUGCUGGUGGCCAGCUCCGUGAAGAUCUGGCCGGAGAAGAUGAAGACUACAGGGGUACCCUGGAUAUGCCUUGAUGUAAUUUUUGUUCUGUCCAGGGACUUGGAUGUAAGUCAGGGAUGUACUGUGCUCUCAAAUUAAUAUAAAUCCCCCCCCCCCCUUCGCAA